rnacentral:rRNA from 1 species
GAUGAACGCUGGCGGCGUGCCUAAUACAUGCAAGUCGAACGCAUUGUGGUUGAAAUGAUAUGAAGAACUUGUUCAGAUUUGAUUUUCAACAUUGCAAUGAGUGGCGAACGGGUGAGUAACACGUGGGAAACCUACCUCUUAGCAGGGGAUAACAUUUGGAAACAAAUGCUAAUACCGUAUAAUAAUUAAAACCGCAUGGUUUUAGUUUAAAAGAUGGUCUUGCUAUCACUAAGAGAUGGUCCCGCGGUGUAUUAGUUAGUUGGUGAGGUAAUGGCUCACCAAGUACAAUGAUACAUAGCCGAGUUGAGAGACUGACCGGCCACAAUGGGACUGAGACACGGCCCAUACUCCUACGGGA